rnacentral:rRNA from 1 species
AUUGAACGCUGGCGGCAUGCCUUACACAUGCAAGUCGAACGGUAACGGGCCUUCGGGUGCCGACGAGUGGCGAACGGGUGAGUAAUGUAUCGGAACGUACCUUUCAGUGGGGGAUAACGUAGCGAAAGUUACGCUAAUACCGCAUAUUCUGUGAGCAGGAAAGCAGGGGAUCGCAAGACCUUGCGCUGAUUGAGCGGCCGAUAUCAGAUUAGCUAGUUGGUGAGGUAAAGGCUCACCAAGGCGACGAUCUGUAGAGGGUCUGAGAGGAUGAUCCGCCACACUGGAACUGAGACACGGUCCAGACUCCUACGGGGGGCAGCAGUGGGGAAUUUUGGACGAUGGGGGCAACCCUGAUCCAGCCAUGCCGCGUGAGUGAAGAAGGCCUUCGGGUUGUAAAGCUCUUUCGGCCGGGAAGAAAUCGUAUGGGUUAAUACCCUGUGCGGAUGACGGUACCGGCAUAAGAAGCACCGGCUAACUACGUGCCAGCCGCCGCCGUAAAAC